rnacentral:rRNA from 1 species
UACAGAGGUGGCAAGCGUUGUUCGGAAUUACUGGGCGUAAAGGGCGCGUAGGCGGUCUUGUAAGUCUUGUGUGAAAUCCCUCGGCUUAACUGAGGAACUGCACGGGAUACUGCGAGACUUGAGUUCGGGAGAGGGAAGCGGAAUUCCGGGUGUAGCGGUGAAAUGCGUAGAUAUCCGGAGGAACACCGGUGGCGAAGGCGGCUUCCUGGACCGAUUACUGACGCUGAGGCGCGAAAGCUAGGGGAGCAAACGGG